rnacentral:sRNA from 1 species
GGAAAGUGCUCACAUACAAAUUAAGAAGUUCAGCUCUGUCUCAGGAGAUGGGGUGUCGGUGUCCCUGGUCGACAAGAACAGACGUCUCCUCGUCAUCAGUGGACUCUUGGCUAAGUGGUGUCGUCAUCAGCAUCUCCCCGCUGUGGGAGUCCAUCCAUCCUAAGUCAGCAGCAGAGCGUGCCUGGGGCGUGAGCAGUUGGAGGGACCGACCAGUGGAGUGUGCGUGUCGGAAGGCAGUCUACCCAGUCGUGACUGAGCACAAAUGUGCAAUUUGGUACAUGAGUGGCUACCACACUGGCUACUAUAUGGGUUUCAGACAAAAUAAAAAAGAA